ensembl:lncRNA
UUUUAUGUUUUCUGCAGAUUAAAAAUGGCUUUGGAGCGACAUGAGGGUAAACAUGAGUAAAUAAUGUAAGUAAAUAACAUUUUUGGUUGAACCGUCACUUUAAUACAUCAAUACUUUAAUACAUUAACACUAGAAUAUUAAUGUAGAAACUUCUCCACAGAAGUUGCCCAUUUCACUCUGACCCGUGAGAGGCAGAUGCUGUUGCUGGGAUACAGUUGCCUAGAUACCAUUGUUUCCAUGUGUGCCUGUAUCUUUCUGUGGUCAGAAGAGACUCCUACAAUUCUGUGACGUCACAUUCCAUCCAAUCAGCAAGCAGGAUGAUCUUACGCAAGAUUUAAGAACACACCGCGCAUUACAAAUGAUCUUAGAGCACAAACAGUCUGAAUACUGAUCAGCGGACACACACACACACACACACAACAGUGCUGCGCUGAAUUAGAAACGUUUCCUGCUCAAACAGAAAGAUUCAAUUAUCUUAUUAGUUUUCAUUAAUACAAACCUUGACUUCUAAUUGUGUGUGUGUGUGUGGGGGGUUGAGAGAGAAACAUUUAGUCACAUCUUCAUUAGCACACUACAGUCACUCAUCAAAAACAAACAACUCACAAGCUCAAAGCACUGAAGUCUUGGAAAACUUACAAUGCACUUCCCAUCCCCUGAACUCCUGAAAAAACUUGGCUGACAACACUCCCGACAUCAGUUCCGGGUCUGUUAAACUAACUGCUUUCAAAUGAGCUAUUAUAGUGAGCCAAGAAAGAGCUCAAAUAGUUUUUUUUAUUAUUAUUUUUUUGUACGGUAAUCUGUUUUGGGUGAUUUGAUCACAAGUUGAUUAGAUCUGAUAUGGGUGCAAAUGGGGUCCAUUGUGUCUUGCGAUUGAUCACUCAAACCACAUUUGAGGUUCUCAGGAUGUUUGAUCAUGUUUCUUUAUUCACUGCAGAAUAAGCCUUGUAAGCCCAGUCCUGACGAAGCUCUGUGCAGCCUGAAGCUGGAACUCCGGAUGGGAUCCAGGAAAUCAAGGCUACCGGAUCUUCCCUGAUGCUUCAGGAAAUUUGGAGUUCAACGUGGGAUUCACAAAACACUUGUUCUUGAAAGAUGGCUUAGUACCCAGUUUAUUUGGACCAGAUUGCUGCACUGAAUCACAACCUGUAAGUGUGAUAAAUAAUAGAUCUUUUUAUUUUCUAUUGAGCAUUCAGAAUACAGAACUAUGGCAAUGGGCAUAUCGUUUCCGAAACACCCUGUAAACGGUAGACCAAUCACAACAGACUGGGUCAUCUGACCAAUCAGUGCAGAGUAGGCUCAUGGAAAGGAGGGGGUCAGAGAGACUGAAUCUUAGAACUGCUUUGAACAAAUAAUUUGAGAAUUACUGGAAAAUGAAGUGAUAUUAAAUGCAUAAUUUGAGAAACCAGAAUUGUUUUUUUGAACUUGCAUGCAUGUAAACCUAUUGUAGGAGACUCCUAAAACAAUAUUAGGAACCUUAAAAUGGCAUAAUAGGGGCACUUUAAAUUGUAAUAAUACUAAUAACAAUAUUACUGUUUUGACUGUAUUUUUUGAUCAAAUAAAUUCUCUCUUUGUGAGCA